AGAGUUUGAUCCUGGCUCAGGAUGAACGCCGGCGGUGUGCCUAAUACAUGCAAGUCGAACGCGUUGGCCCAAUUGAUUGAUGGUGCUUGCACCUGAUUGAUUUUGGUCGCCAACGAGUGGCGGACGGGUGAGUAACACGUAGGUAACCUGCCCAGAAGCGGGGGACAACAUUUGGAAACAGAUGCUAAUACCGCAUAACAACGUUGUUCGCAUGAACAACGCUUAAAAGAUGGCUUCUCGCUAUCACUUCUGGAUGGACCUGCGGUGCAUUAGCUUGUUGGUGGGGUAACGGCCUACCAAGGCGAUGAUGCAUAGCCGAGUUGAGAGACUGAUCGGCCACAAUGGGACUGAGACACGGCCCAUACUCCUACGGGAGGCAGCAGUAGGGAAUCUUCCACAAUGGGCGCAAGCCUGAUGGAGCAACACCGCGUGAGUGAAGAAGGGUUUCGGCUCGUAAAGCUCUGUUGUUAAAGAAGAACACGUAUGAGAGUAACUGUUCAUACGUUGACGGUAUUUAACCAGAAAGUCACGGCUAACUACGUGCCAGCAGCCGCGGUAAUACGUAGGUGGCAAGCGUUAUCCGGAUUUAUUGGGCGUAAAGAGAGUGCAGGCGGUUUUCUAAGUCUGAUGUGAAAGCCUUCGGCUUAACCGGAGAAGUGCAUCGGAAACUGGAUAACUUGAGUGCAGAAGAGGGUAGUGGAACUCCAUGUGUAGCGGUGGAAUGCGUAGAUAUAUGGAAGAACACCAGUGGCGAAGGCGGCUACCUGGUCUGCAACUGACGCUGAGACUCGAAAGCAUGGGUAGCGAACAGGAUUAGAUACCCUGGUAGUCCAUGCCGUAAACGAUGAGUGCUAGGUGUUGGAGGGUUUCCGCCCUUCAGUGCCGGAGCUAACGCAUUAAGCACUCCGCCUGGGGAGUACGACCGCAAGGUUGAAACUCAAAGGAAUUGACGGGGGCCCGCACAAGCGGUGGAGCAUGUGGUUUAAUUCGAAGCAACGCGAAGA
rnacentral:rRNA from 1 species